rnacentral:snRNA from 1 species
GGAUGUGAGGACGAUCUGGCUGCGACAUCUGUCACCCCAUCGAUCGUCAGAGUUUAUCGGCUGACCUGGCUGGCUAGACAGUGUCCCCUUCCCCCUCACCACUCCAUGUGUGCACCUCCAGAAGCUAUGCACUCGGUCGAAGAGGAUGACCUUCCGGGCUCAAGGAGGGCCGGGCUUCGGUCAAGGGUGUACGAGUAGCUGAGCUCCCCUGCUAGACACCAAACAAGCUCUCAAAACACAUAGUGAUGCCGAAAUCAUACUUAUGUAUAGCAAUGAGUGAAACUUCAUAGUUCUUUAUGGUACAUCGAAUUUUCUUUGUAUAUUUAUU